GACGAACGCUGGCGGCGUGCUUAACACAUGCAAGUCGAACGGACAGGCCCUGCUUUUGUGGGGUGCUCGAGUGGCGAACGGGUGAGUAACACGUGAGUAACCUGCCCUUGUCUUUGGGAUAACUUCAGGAGACUGGGGCUAAUACCGGAUAGGAGCUCCUGCUGCACGGUGGGGGUUGGAAAGUUUCGGCGGUUGGGGAUGGACUCGCGGCUUAUCCGCUUGUUGGUGGGGUAGUGGAUUACCAAGGCUUUGACGGGUAGCCGGCCUGAGAGGGUGACCGGCGACAUUGGGACUGAGAUACGGCGCAGACUCCUACGGGAGGCAGCAGUGGGGAAUAUGGCACAAUGGGCGGAAGCCUGAGGCAGCAACGCCGCGUGCGUGAUGACGGCCUUCGGGUGGUAAACCGCUUUCGCCGGUGACGAAGCGGGAGUGACGGUAAUGGGUAAAGAAGCACCGGCUAACUACGUG
rnacentral:rRNA from 1 species